rnacentral:rRNA from 1 species
UACGUAGGCAGCAAGCGUUGUUCGGAGUUACUGGGCGUAAAGGGUGUGUAGGCGGUUGCUUAAGUUUGGUGUGAAAUCUCCCGGCUCAACUGGGAGGGUGCGCCGAAUACUGAGUGACUCGAGUGCGGGAGAGGAAAGUGGAAUUCCUGGUGUAGCGGUGAAAUGCGUAGAUAUCAAGUGGAACACCAGUGGCGAAGGCGAGUCUCUGGACAUUUCCUGACGCUGAGGCACGAAAGCCAGGGGAGCAAACGGG